AACGAACGCUGGCGGCAGGCCUAACACAUGCAAGUCGAGCGCCCUUUCGGGGGAGCGGCGGACGGGUGAGUAACGCGUGGGAAUAUGCCCUUCUCUACGGAAUAGCCUCGGGAAACUGAGAGUAAUACCGUAUACGCCCUGUGGGGGAAAGAUUUAUCGGGGAAGGAUUAGCCCGCGUUGGAUUAGGUAGUUGGUGGGGUAAUGGCCUACCAAGCCGACGAUCCAUAGCUGGGUUGAGAGGAUGAUCAGCCACACUGGGACUGAGACACGGCCCAGACUCCUACGGGAGGCAGGAGGGGGGAAUCUUAGACAAUGGGGGCAACCCUGAUCGAGCCAUGCCGCGUGAGUGAUGAAGGCCUUAGGGUUGUAAAGCUCUUUCAGCUGGGAAGAUAAUGACGGUACCAGCAGAAGAAGCCCCGGCUAACUCCGUG
rnacentral:rRNA from 1 species